rnacentral:lncRNA from 1 species
CGGGACUGAUCUCUGUCCCCAGGGUGACCGAGUGCAGGCGUACUGCGAGCUGGAGCACGUCCUGCGGGAAGGUGACAGCCGCCCGCCAUGCGGAGUGCUGAACCGGCUGCUGGCUGAGGUGUCCCAGGACCUGACAGCAGCCCAGGGCGUGCCAGACAGCGUGAGGAUGGCUGCCAGCAAUGUCCUGGUGGCUCUGGCCCGGACACACUUCACCUUGGUGAUGGCCGAGCUCCAGAGCCACCUGAAGGCCAUGGGGGAGAUGUCCAAGGAGUUUGUGCUCGUCACCCUGAGCAAACUGUUCACCAGCUACGCUCCACAGUGCAUCUCCUUCGU